UUAGAGUUUGAUCCUGGCUCAGAUUGAACGCUGGCGGCAGGCCUAACACAUGCAAGUCGAGCGGAUGAGUGGAGCUUGCUCCAUGAUUCAGCGGCGGACGGGUGAGUAAUGCCUAGGAAUCUGCCUGGUAGUGGGGGAUAACGUUUCGAAAGGAACGCUAAUCCCGCAUACGUCCUACGGGAGAAAGUGGGGGAUCUUCGGACCUCACGCUAUCAGAUGAGCCUAGGUCGGAUUAGCUAGUUGGUGGGGUAAUGGCCCACCAAGGCGACGAUCCGUAACUGGUCUGAGAGGAUGAUCAGUCACACUGGAACUGAGACACGGUCCAGACUCCUACGGGAGGCAGCAGUGGGGAAUAUUGGACAAUGGGCGAAAGCCUGAUCCAGCCAUGCCGCGUGUGUGAAGAAGGUCUUCGGAUUGUAAAGCACUUUAAGUUGGGAGGAAGGGCAGUAAGUUAAUACCUUGCUGUUUUGACGUUACCAACAGAAUAAGCACCGGCUAACUUCGUGCCAGCAGCCGCGGUAAUACGAAGGGUGCAAGCGUUAAUCGGAAUUACUGGGCGUAAAGCGCGCGUAGGUGGUUCAGCAAGUUGGAUGUGAAAGCCCCGGGCUCAACCUGGGAAUUGCAUCCAAAACUACUGAGCUAGAGUACGGUAGAGGGUGGUGGAAUUUCCUGUGUAGCGGUGAAAUGCGUAGAUAUAGGAAGGAACACCAGUGGCGAAGGCGACCCACCCUGGACUGAUACUGACCACUGAGGUGCGAAAGCGUGGGAGCAACAGAU
rnacentral:rRNA from 1 species